AAGGCUACAACGGGAAAACCAAAAAAAGACUAAGAUCGAAGUGCGGCCCGAGGGUAAACCCCGCCCUAUGGCACAGAUCCAACUACGAGCUUUUUAAACGCAGCGAUAGUUCUAUGCUCUUUGAGAUCUGGAAUUACCGCGCCUGCUGACCCAAACUUGCCCUCUCAUGGAUGCGCGUUAAAGGGUUUAUUUGCCCCUUUCCGAUAACCGGCCUCAUAAAAGAACGGUCUCUUAUUUUUCAUCCCUACCUCCUCGUGCUGAAAGUGAGAAUUUUCCCCCUGCUGCCUCCCUUAAAUGUGUUCGCAAUUUCUCAGGAAACUCUCCGGACCAAACCCGUAUGCUCCGUUACGCGUGUCACCUUGGUAGAAAUCCCCUACCCUCCAAGUUGAUCUUAAAUACUUGAAGACGUGCCCCGUGCAAGACCGUGCCAUCCCUCUAUUUCCUAUGAGUCAACCAUAAACUCCGAAUCCCCCUGGGUUUUGGCUAUAAUUGCA
rnacentral:rRNA from 1 species